ACUGAGUCAGCACAUGUGUUAAAAACUAACAUUUUCCUAGUCACUGUCAGCUGCUGGGCUCAUCUGUGUCACAGACAUCCAAGUUCCUGGAGCUUAGAGCUGAGUGGCCAAGAUGGAGAAGUAACCAAAAGACCCGGCUUCUGUGGUUUUAGCCCUCGACUGCAUGUUCUGACAGCCGCAGGAUUUUGCAAACUGCACAUCCAGACUCCACUGAAUUUCUAGUCUACUGGGAUCUCGGCAGGUUAGCAUGGUCCUCUAUGGAGAGAAUGUGUUUUCAGGGAUCAGUGUCAACUCUGGCAUUUCUGCGGGCCCACCUUGGCACAAGCGAGUACACCUAGCUUGAGGAUGCACAUUUCUGAAUGGCGGGGAAACCCACCUGGGCGCUAUUUCAGUCGAGGGCUGCCAUGCCCACUGUCUGCCUGUGGAGCUCCGUGUGGAGUCUGCAAGAGAGUUAAAGCUCAGAGGUUGGAGGGCUGCCGUGGGUGAGGGGGAGCAGCCUGCACUAGAGCCUGCGUGGUGGAUUGCGCUGGACCCCAAAUAGUGAGCUCCUUGACCUUGUCAACAGGUGCAAGUCUGCAUUGCUCGACACUCUGUAUUAUGAUUCUGAACUUGGACAUUGACUGGUCAUAGGAGUCUCUGGCUCUGGAAUUUAUAUAAGCAACUUAAGGACAGUGGGCUUUGAAUUUUCAGUUUGAGGAUGCUCAAUCUAUGUCCCUAUCUCCCACUCCUGUGUUUCUGCCCUCCCUCACCUCAUUCCAAACUGAAUAAAAGUCUGAAUAAAAGAAUAGCUCCUUGG